rnacentral:lncRNA from 1 species
CACGAACCCAGCCAGCACGGUCCUUUGGACAUGCCAGGUACACAUAAACAUGAAUUCCCACCUACUGUGUUUCCUUCCAAGCACUCUCAUUUCACUGUGGGUCACUCAGAGUCACGGUGUGGUCAGCAUACGUGCCCUGAGCAGCCCCAGGGAGCUUGCAGGCCGACAGGGAAGUAGCCCAGAGAGGAGGUGUCCUGGAACCACGCAAUGAAUGGCAGUAAACCCCCACAAAAGGCACCAGAGACCCGGUUCUAGUUUUGGCCUCGCCAAGUCACCUUAAGCUCUCUGAGCCUCAGAUUGGGGCUGUGAAAAGAGGGAACAAACCCCUGCUCCACCUGCCUACAGGGUUAUGGUGAGAGUCAGGGAGGGACCAGGCAGGACGGCCCUUAGCAAACUCUGCUUUCUUACAUACAGGUAGGGGGGUCAUUACUCUUAUUUCCCCCCUUCCCUUCAGUCAAAUAACAGGAUGAACUAAACGGGAUCCAGAAUCAUUCACAUUUUGAUGAUAAAAGGCAGGAACAAUAUAAAGCUUUAGCUUAAUUAGGAAACCAAACACUGUAAGCAAAUAAGAAGAAAGGGCUGUUAAGGGCCCAGCAGCUUUUGCAACACAUCUGAGACUGGGCACAUCACCGGCAAGAUUGGCCUUCAAGUCAUAUUCCCAGAGGAACGGGAAAGCUUUUUAGUGGACAUUAGGUUCUACUUCUUUUUAUUCCAAAAGGCUGUUGGACAGAACCUCACCGGUGUCAUUUUGUGAUUUCCCUCUCCGCCUCUCUACCCUGCUCUAAAGAGGGAACACAGGACUCAGUGGAGCUCCAGACGGCGCCGGGCCAACCUGGAGAAACCCCCAGCGCCAAUUUUCACCACCUGGACCCCGGGCCCUCGCCUCCCUCCCCAGGAAAGUGCGCAAGGUCGCCGCUCCUGCUUUCCAGCAGCUCCGUCUUGCGGCCGCUCCCCCGGAGCCUUGGCCUUGCCCCUGCAGGGCUGGAGGACGCCGGGGUGAGAAUCCGCAGGCGAGAGUUAGCAGCUCGCCGCCGCGGGGCUGCCGCCCAAUGGCAGCCUUCCUGUGUGCCCCGUACUCUACAGUUUAACCAGCAGUUUCAUCCCCAAAGCCCCCGGAACCUCACAGCUACCCUGGGAAGAAGGCCUGGCUUGUGGCGCCCGCCCCACGUCGUAGCUGCAGAAACUUUGGCUCCGAGAGGUGAAGCGACCCGCACAAGGCUACACAGCCCGGCUGAGGGUGGGGCCCGCUCCGUACUUCCGGGAGGGGCGCACGGGUCCCGAAGAAAGCUGCCCACGGAGGGGACAACCGACGGCGGCGCUCCGACCGUCCGGGAGGUCCACGUACCGAUCACAGCCAAACACCGCCCGGCCUGCCAGGAGCCCGCCGGCGCGCUUCCGGGUGGGGCCACGUGACUGUCCGCGUGACCGCCCCGCCUCGCCCCGCCCGGCGAGGGACUGGAGGCCGCGGUCUAGCUCGCAGGUAAAUACCUAGGAGCGGGAUGGCUGGACUAUAUGAAACAAAGCUGCUCUCAGUGGAUUUCCAAGAUGAAUACCACAGCUGCAUCCAUCCCAAACACAGGGGCCUUGAAUGCCUGUGGCGGGGCACACCUGCAGAGCUGGGCCUGGCCUGGACCAUGUGGCAGCUCAGCAGUUCACAGUCCUGCUGGGCCCUCCCAGCCGCCCCACCCCAGGAGGCCACAGAGGGUCCCCGGUGCUGAGAGCCGCUGGGCGCCUCUCAGGGAGAAUCCGCCAACAAUCUCUGCCCUGUCAAGGGUGCAGGGCUUGGCCCCCUCUGCCCAGGGACUGUCCAACUGCUGGGGUGAGGCUGGGGCUGCAGCGGGCAAGUGGGCCUGUGGGGACUGUGGUUCUGGGAGUCUCAGGCCUUAGUCUCACUGGAGCCCAGUUCUGGUAUUUUCAAGCUUUUCUCCAGCCAGAAAUAAUGCUAAUAUCCUACAACUGCAGCUUUUUCAGGGCACUACCACAAUUGAGACUUUCUCUUCAAGUAACAAUGAGAAUUUGUUCUGAGCCUUUGCGAUAAGAAAGGAGAGAGAAGAUCAUUCCUAGAGGCAGGAGGAGCAGAAAAUCAUCUCAACAAAAAGCACAGACUUCUCAUGAUAUAUUAUUAUGCUUUCAAAUAAGUAUUUCCACAAACCCAUUCUUUAGUUUAAAAUAAAGUGGCUCUGAAGUCUUAGAUUAUCUUGGCCAUGUCUUGUUUUAGGAGGAAAAAUCUGAUCUGGGGAAGCUGGUGGAUGAGCAACUUUGUCGUGGGGCCCAGCCUGGCAAGCUGCUCCCUUGAUGCAUCACGAUGCUGAGUUUCGCCAUAGGCUGUCUUCUGUGGGGAGUGUGAGAAGGGAAUCCCUUAUAAGGAGCGAUCCCUACUGAUUUAGUAAGUU